rnacentral:rRNA from 1 species
AGAGUUUGAUCAUGGCUCAGAUUGAACGCUGGCGGCAUGCCUUACACAUGCAAGUCGAACGGCAGCACGGACUUCGGUCGGGUGGCGAGUGGCGAACGGGUGAGUAAUACAUCGGAACGUGUCCUGGAGUGGGGGAUAGCCCGGCGAAAGCCGGAUUAAUACCGCAUACGCUCUGCGGAGGAAAGCGGGGGAUCUUCGGACCUCGCGCUCAAGGGGCGGCCGAUGGCAGAUUAGCUAGUUGGUGGGGUAAAGGCCUACCAAGGCGACGAUCUGUAGCUGGUCUGAGAGGACGACCAGCCACACUGGGACUGAGACACGGCCCAGACUCCUACGGGAGGCAGCAGUGGGGAAUUUUGGACAAUGGGCGCAAGCCUGAUCCAGCAAUGCCGCGUGUGUGAAGAAGGCCUUCGGGUUGUAAAGCACUUUUGUCCGGAAAGAAAACCUUUGCCCUAAUACGGCGGGGGGAUGACGGUACCGGAAGAAUAAGCACCGGCUAACUACGUGCCAGCAGCCGCGGUAAUACGUAGGGUGCAAGCGUUAAUCGGAAUUACUGGGCGUAAAGCGUGCGCAGGCGGUCCGUUAAGACAGAUGUGAAAUCCCCGGGCUUAACCUGGGAACUGCAUUUGUGACUGGCGGACUCGAGUAUGGCAGAGGGGGGUAGAAUUCCACGUAGCAGUGAAAUGCGUAGAGAUGUGGAGGAAUACCGAUGGCGAAGGCAGCCCCCUGGGCCAAUACUGACGCUCAUGCACGAAAGCGUGGGGAGCAAACAGGAUUAGAUACCCUAGUAGUCC